rnacentral:rRNA from 1 species
AUUGAACGCUGGCGGCAGGCCUAACACAUGCAAGUCGAACGAGUGGCGGAAGGGUGAGUAAUGUGUGGGAAACUGCCAGAGGGGGGGGGAAAACUAGGGGAAACGAGAGCUAAUCGCGCAUACCAGCAGAAGUGCCCAGAGGGGAUUCGCUUGUUGGUGGGGUAACGGCUCACCAAGGAGACGAUCCCUAGCUGGUCUGAGGGGAUGACCAGCCACACUGGGACUGAGACACGGUCCAGACUCCUACGGGAGGCAGCAGUGGGGAAUAGUGCACAAUGGGCGCAAGCCUGAUGCAGCCAUGCCGCGUGUAUGAAGAAGGCCUUCGGGUUGUAAAGUACUUUCAGCGGGGAGGCGUUACCCGCAGAAGAAGCACCGGCUAACUCCGUGCCAGCCGCCGCGGUAAUAC